CAGCAGCCGCGGUAAUACAGAGGGUGCGAGCGUUAAUCGGAUUUACUGGGCGUAAAGCGUGCGUAGGCGGCUUCUUAAGUCGGAUGUGAAAUCCCUGAGCUUAACUUAGGAAUUGCAUUCGAUACUGGGAAGCUAGAGUAUGGGAGUGGAUGGUAGAAUUCCAGGUGUAGCGGUGAAAUGCGUAGAGAUCUGGAGGAAUACCGAUGGCGAAGGCAGCCAUCUGGCCUAAUACUGACGCUGAGGUACGAAAGCAUGGGGAGCAAACAGGAUUAGAUACCCGAGUAGUCCCUGUCUCUUAUAC
rnacentral:rRNA from 1 species